AGGACGAGCACACCUUCUGAGAGGUGGUCGUGGGCCUCGUUUGAGAUGUGUGGGGGAACGUGGUAGAGGACAAGGCCACGGACCAAGACAGCAGCAGCAACAGCAGAGAGUGUCCAAUGAAAUCCGAGCAACAGUUGUAGACCAUGUCGUAAAUCAUGACAAUGACUGAGGCAGCUACAAUGAUUCAACCAAACCUCAGAUGAUCAACCGUGGCCUCAAUCAUCAGAACUUUACGCAAUGAGAACCGGCUAAAUAGGGGAGGCAGAGGCAAAAUUCUGACUGACCAACAAGAGCGGGCUGUGGUCAAUUUGGUUCGGGCAAGAAAUUAUAUUCGCCUUACAGAAAUUUGGCGGCAGAUUUUGGACAAUGACGACAUGUUCAACAACCUGGAAGCCUAAAGCUUGCCGACUAUUGCAGGCAUGCUGAAAAGGCACCAGGUGUCUCUAAAACAGCUAUACUGUGUGCCUUUUGAAAGAAAUGCAGAGUGAAGCAACUGAGAACUGAGUAUGUUCAGGUAUGUUCAGUUUCAAGAUGCCUGUUGUGAAAAAUUCCCCCAAAAUUCUACAUCAUUGUAAUCAGAAAUUAUUUUUCCAAAAUAUAUUUUUAGAGGGUGAUGGAGCUGGAUGCUGAUGAAAACCAUCACAAAUUCCUAUUUUUGGAUGAGUCAGGUUUCAACCUGGCCAAGACAAGGAGGAGAGGUCGGAAUUUCAUUGGCCAGCGGGUAACCAUCCAAGUACCAGGACAACGUGGUGAAAACAUCACCAUGUGAGUGGCUAUAUCAGAAGAGGGUGUGGUGGGAUGCAGACCUCGUAUUGGAUCAUAUAAUGCAGCUCUCCUUGUAACCUUCCGUGAUGAUCUAAAUCAGGAUUUGUUCUCCACAUGGAGGUGGAAGGUAUAUGAUAGGCGCCUUCACAAAUAAGCCACCCUUCUCCAGGCCAUGGAUGACGCAUGCAAUGACAUCACGGCAGACCAGUGUCAGGCCUGGAUUCGCCCGAAGAUUCUUCCCAAGAUGUUUAGCUAAUGAAAA